rnacentral:rRNA from 1 species
GCAGAGCAUCCUACGGGAGGCAGCAGUGGGGAAUAUUGCACAAUGGGCGCAAGCCUGAUGCAGCCAUGCCGCGUGUAUGAAGAAGGCCUUCGGGUUGUAAAGUACUUUCAGCAGUGAGGAAGGUGGGUAUGUUAAUAGCAUACUCAUUUGACGUUAGCUGCAGAAGAAGCACCGGCUAACUCCGUGCCAGCAGCCGCGGUAAUACGGAGGGUGCGAGCGUUAAUCGGAAUUACUGGGCGUAAAGCGCAUGCAGGUGGUUUGUUAAGUCAGAUGUGAAAGCCCGGGGCUCAACCUCGGAAUUGCAUUUGAAACUGGCAAACUAGAGUACUGUAGAGGGGGUAGAAUUUCAGGUGUAGCGGUGAAAUGCGUAGAGAUCUGAAGGAAUACCGGUGGCGAAGGCGGCCCCCUGGACAGAUACUGACACUCAGAUGCGAAAGCGUGGGGAGCAAACAGGAUUAGCUACCCUGGUAG